CUUUAGGUGCUUCUUCUUAACCGUGACUGCACCUCUCCAUUUUCUUGAUUGCCGUCACCCUAAAGCCUCACAUAGGUCUGCUCCUUUGAAUUCCUUGAGGCUGAACCAGUCAAAUGUUAGGCCUAGACCAGCCUGUGAGGAAGUUGCUCAGGAGCUAAGUGGCAAAGCCAGAAAUUUAAAAGAAAGAAAACAUUUUGAUGAUAAAAGAAACGACAUCCCUUCUGACAAAAGAACUCCAAAAAACUGGUGAUCUGAAGGUUGCUUUAGGUUCUGAGGACAUUGCUGUUGGUGUAACUCAGCCUGAUGGAUGCUCUCCCACACUGAUACGGGCUCACCAAGAGGAGACUCGAAGUGUUCUGUCUACAGUCUACAACAGGCGAGGAUCAUACAUUUUAGGACCAGUGGCCCCCCUAGUGAAGGUUUCUGUGCCCUCAGCAUCUCGAGAGCUGGAUGCAACAAGGAAGAGCUGAGGAGAACUGAGAGCCGCCCCUGUCGUGUCUGAAGGUGCUUUCUGGAAUGUAGCAGAGAACGGGAAAUGAGAUCCAAUUGCAAUGAGGAGGAAGGAUGAAGAUGCAACUCCUCACUGUCUCCUAACCCAUUCUUGAAAGACAGCCUGGAGGAGCAGAUUCCAACCAGAGGAACCCAGCUGGAACACCUAGGCAGCAGCCAGGAGAUGGCAGGGCCGUUUUGUGUAUGUUUUCUGUUUACUUGCUCAGUUUUUAAUGAAAGAAAUGUAUUUUUGUUCUUUAUGUGUUUUUGAAGUGUCUUAGCAUUAAAAACAUAUGUUUCUAUUUUUAGAAAAAUAAACUAUGAGUAUUUUAAU
ensembl:lncRNA